CCGAGUUUACAACUCCCAAACCCCUGUGAAACAUACCAAUUGUUGCCUCGGCGGAUCAGCCCGCUCCCGGUAAAACGGGACGGCCCGCCAGAGGACCCCUAAACUCUGUUUCUAUAUGUAACUUCUGAGUAAAACCAUAAAUAAAUCA
rnacentral:misc_RNA from 1 species